UUGAAAAAAAAAAAUAUCAGGAAAGGAGUUUAAAUUCAAAGUAAAUUUCACUCAUUUUUUUGGUCAGAUAUAAUGCUCAUGAAGCAGAAGUAGUUAGAAGUAUUCGUGAUACUUUGGGGUUUAAAUUUUGGAUCUUUUUGUCUGAAUUUCAGGUACUUGAAAAUUUUCAACAAGUCCCAAAGUGGUGUCAUCUAAAUUCUGAAGGUGUGGAGCAUUCUACCAAAUGCUGUGGGGAGAAAAUAAAAAGAGAUAAGAAAGAAAGCUCUAUGAAGAGACUACAGCCAAAAGGUACAACGCUCUGCCUGGACAGUUUUUCUAAAGGAAUCGUGAUUUAACUACGGCAUUCUCCCAACAAAUACUGCAGUAGAAAUCUCAUCAGACGAUGAUCUGAAGUCUAUCCUUGAAAAGAAAAGUGUAAGCUAUUUCUCCUUUGAUAUGAUCUGAUUUGAACCAUAGGAAUAAUGAAAAAUAAUGAUGCAUAAUGGUUCCUCAUAAUUGUGCACUCACUAUCCUGGGAUAAAUUUUGUACAUCUUUUCUGGAACUAGGACACCUAAUAACUCGAAGUAGCUCUCUACAGCUCUGUGGAUGGAAAGUGAUGAGAUUUUUAUGUUUCCAAGGCAGUAAAUAUUCACUGAGUCACUGUCCCCACCUUCCAGAGCCCCAGCCACAAAUGAAAGGCAGCUUAGAAGAAGCAGACAAUAGACAAAAUUCAG
rnacentral:lncRNA from 1 species